rnacentral:lncRNA from 1 species
AACAGUUUGCUGGCAGUCACGUAUCAAGUGGAAAUAAAAUCGUCAAUAAAGCUCGAUAUGCCCUCUAGAAGACCUUAUCGCCUUGUUUUUCUAGGCUUUUAAUUCCUUGUUCAAACCUCUUCACACACUAACAGCACAAAGAUGAACCUACGGUGGAAUCCACCUUUCACAGGCUCAGCUAAGUGAAGAUUAACAAAUCGGACAGCCCUGUGGGCAAUAGAAUAAGUUGACACUUUAGAAUGAGUUUCCUAUUAUCUUUUAACUAGACAGUCUAGCUUUCUCAGGGCAAGACAAAAAUGUCCCAAUUACUUGUCAGCAGUUUUUAGUGGAGGAAAAACUGCAGUUAAAGCACCUUUACUGAGAACUUUGAGCAGUAAAUGUGCUUACAUAUUUAGUUU